AAGCAGGGGAUCGCAAGACCUUGCGCUUUUGGAGUGGCCGAUGCCUGAUUAGCUAGUUGGUGGGGUAAGGGCCUACCAAGGCGACGAUCAGUAGUUGGUCUGAGAGGACGACCAGCCACACUGGGACUGAGACACGGCCCAGACUCCUACGGGAGGCAGCAGUGGGGAAUUUUGGACAAUGGGCGAAAGCCUGAUCCAGCAAUGCCGCGUGAGUGAAGAAGGCCUUCGGGUUGUAAAGCUCUUUCAGUCGAGAAGAAAAGGUCGCGACUAAUAAUCGCGACUCAUGACGGUAUCGACAGAAGAAGCACCGGCUAACUACGUGCCAGCAGCCGCGGUAAUACGUAGGGUGCGAGCGUUAAUCGGAAUUACUGGGCGUAAAGGGUGCGCAGGCGGCUUUGUAAGUCAGAUGUGAAAUCCCCGGGCUUAACCUGGGAAUUGCGUUUGAAACUACAAGGCUUAG
rnacentral:rRNA from 1 species